UACGUAGAGGGCAAGCGUUACCCGGAUUCACUGGGCGUAAAGCGCGUGUAGGCGGCUGGCCAAGCGUGGUGUGAAAUCUCCGGGCUCAACCCGGAAACUGCACUGCGAACUGGCCUGGCUGGAGUGCAGGAGAGGGAUGCGGAAUUCACGGUGUAGCGGUGAAAUGCGUAGAUAUCGUGAGGAACACCAGUGGCGAAGGCGGCAUCCUGGCCUGUAACUGACGCUGAGACGCGAAAGCGUGGGGAGCGAACCGG
rnacentral:rRNA from 1 species